AGGCGACGACGGGUAGCCGGCCUGAGAGGGCGACCGGCCACACUGGGACUGAGACACGGCCCAGACUCCUACGGGAGGCAGCAGUGGGGAAUAUUGCACAAUGGGCGAAAGCCUGAUGCAGCGACGCCGCGUGAGGGAUGACGGCCUUCGGGUUGUAAACCUCUUUCAGCAGGGAAGAAGCGCAAGUGACGGUACCUGCAGAAGAAGCACCGGCUAACUACGUGCCAGCAGCCGCGGUAAUACGUAGGGUGCGAGCGUUGUCCGGAAUUAUUGGGCGUAAAGAGCUCGUAGGCGGCCUGUCGCGUCGGAUGUGAAAGCCCGGGGCUUAACCCCGGGUCUGCAUUCGAUACGGGCAGGCUAGAGUGUGGUAGGGGAGAUCGGAAUUCCUGGUGUAGCGGUGAAAUGCGCAGAUAUCAGGAGGAACACCGGUGGCGAAGGCGGAUCUCUGGGCCAUUACUGACGCUGAGGAGCGAAAGCGUGGGGAGCGAACAGGAUUAGAUACCCUGGUAGU
rnacentral:rRNA from 1 species